GUGUCUCUACGCUUGUCCUUCAAUUUUCACCAUAUGUCUGCAUUUAGACCUAAAUUUGUUAGUUCCUUGUUUUUCCGGUGAAAGAAAUAUAUCCGGGGGGUCAGAGUUUUGUUCUUCACUUUCUCUUUUUCUUUUCUCUGGGGAUUUUUUCUGCUUUCUUCGGAAAUAAAAAGAGACGUAAUUGAAAAUCACAAUCAGUGAACUUGGUUGAGACAUGGCUAUAUCAAAUUACUGAUGCCGUUUAUGUUGGUCGGCGGUGUAAGAAAAUUCUCUUGUUGUUCUCUGGAUUUGGAAAGAUGAGUUUUUUGGCUGUGAAAUCAGUCAAUAUGUGAUGCUGCUGUUGUUUGAAUAGAUGAUGAAUGGAUGAAAUUCAUAGAGGGUUUAGAGUUCUAUAAAAUUAGAAGCACUGGGUCUGUACCUGGAUUACAAAUUUGUAAUGGUUUUGGACUGUGUUGAGAGAGUUAGGUUAUCACCCAAUCGAGAAUUUGCAGGGAAGGAGAUGCAAAAGAAAGGGGUUAAAAAUCUACAACAAAUGGAUCUUCUCACCAACAACCAGAUGUCUACAAGCUGUUCGAUAAAAUACCCCAAAAAGGAGAAGGAAAUGGGGGAUUAUGAAAGAACAAAAUUUUUACUUGAGUGGCGUAUCAGAGAGUCGUAGCUUGCCAAUCGGGUCGUAACCCAACCCGUUGGGAGCAAAAAUUCUCUUGUCCGUCACAUCAAUACUGCUCAUUGACUUUACUAAUGCUUUCAACAUGGUGAGCAGAUCUCAACUCAUCAAGGAAGUUCGUCUUCGUUGUCCAGGUAUUUCUCGCUGGGUAAAAUUUUGUUACUUGAGGCAUGCUGAACUCUAUUACGACCAUUAUAUUAUGUCCCCUGUUCAACAAGGUGACCCUCUCGGUCCCUUGUUAUUCGCUCUGACACUUCACCCCCAAGUGAAGAUUAUUGCUUAUCAAUGAAAACUUUAUUUGCAUGCCUGGUACCUCGAUGAUGGCACAAUUAUUGGUGAUACUUUGGAGGUAGCCAAAGCCUUAAGCAUUAUUGAAACAUAAGGACCUUGCAGGGGUUUGCAUCUCAAUAUAAAUAAAACGGAAGUCUUUUGGCCUUCUAUUGAUCCUAGAAGCACAGGUGAUGGUGUUUUCCCUACUGAUAUUGGUAGACCUUCUAAUGGUGUCAAACUUUUGGGUGGACCGGUAAGUCUAGAUCUGAACUUUGUCAGUGAUAUGAUGUUGAGGAGGGUGAAUAAAAUUGUUCAAUUAAUGACUGCAAUCAAGAAACUCAAAGACCCCCAAAGUGAGAUGCUAUUACUUCGCAGUUGCACUGGUGUGUCUAGACUUUAUUUUGCAAUGCGCACUACCAAUCCUGCAGUCCUGCAGUCCUGCAACCAGCCACUGACCUUUUUGAUGAUCAUUUACUUAAGUACUUGAGACUACUAAUCACUGGUGAUGGUGAGGGGUUUGGUCCUUUACAACAGCGUUUGGCUACCUUGCCUAUCAAAGAUGGUGGACUUGGCAUUUACACCAUGGCUGACACCAACUAUUACUGCUACCUUGCUUCUCAGAGUCAGAUUACCUCGGUGUAGAAGGUGAUUCUUGUUAACUCAUUCUCAACAGACAAAAGUUCUGCUUAUCAGUUUGCACUUCAGAGAUUUACCCAGGUAUGUAGAUUACCGUCUACUUAUUGUGUCAAUGAUACUUCCCCCUCCCAUCCACUCCCUGGCAGUCACUUAUUUUGAUGCGGUGAAGAUGCAAAUCUCAGACCAAUUUUUUAUGUCUACAAGAGAUUCCAUCUUGUGGCAGUGCAAUCUUGUUAAGCAUGUUGAAGACUAUUUAUUGGUUGUACCCAUCAGUGGGCUCAAUCAGUGCCUUGGACAGAUACAGUUCAGAGUUGUGCUUUGUUAUCGUUUUGCAUCCCACUUUUUGUUGAGAAUGGUUUAUUCCCAAGUUGUAGCAAAUCCAUGGACAUUUUUUGGGAUCCUGCGCUCCAUUGUGCUAAGGAUAUAGGCCUAAGUUUCCGCAUGAUAUUGUUCGUGAUAUAAUCGCUGACAUUUGUUACAAAGCUGGUGCGCCUGCGUAAGGAAGUUUCCCUUGGUUUUCUGACGGAUGAUGACAAAGAUUUGAAACCUGCUGAUAUUCUUGUGCUCAACUGG